AAACUACAAGUCACCCUUAUACCCUCUCCAUAGGGUCCGUCCAUUACUGAUCACCAUUUGUCUCCUGACAUGCUCGGCCACCAUUCUCAGUCUUUGGUUCUUUCAAAAAGGAUAUGGACACUUCUGCCCCCUAGUGACCAGAUGUAUCCUUCCUGAGAUUGGCGAGAAUCACAUGACAUCUGUGCUGAUGCAAUGACGCCCAAAUAAAAAGCAGACAUCCAAAGAUGUGGUACCAGUGAAGCUGCAGUAAGAGUUCUGUAACAGCGACUGAAAAGGACAAAAAGCAAGAGCAUUACAGGAAUAUCCAACAGAUGUGCGUGAUCAAGUACAGUUAUCCCAAGGAGAAAGUAGAAGCCGAUUCCAAGACAAUAAUGGGCAAGAUGGAUGACUCCACUGGAGUAGACACUCACAUAGAAACACUCAAACAAGCGUUUAAGACUGUGUAUC